rnacentral:piRNA from 1 species
UAAGGUGCUGAGCAUGGCAGG